CAUGCAUGUCGAGCGGUAGCACAGAGAGCUUGCUCUCGGGUGACGAGCGGCGGACGGGUGAGUAAUGUCUGGGAAACUGCCUGAUGGAGGGGGAUAACUACUGGAAACGGUAGCUAAUACCGCAUAAUGUCGCAAGACCAAAGUGGGGGACCUUCGGGCCUCAUGCCAUCAGAUGUGCCCAGAUGGGAUUAGCUAGUAGGUGGGGUAACGGCUCACCUAGGCGACGAUCCCUAGCUGGUCUGAGAGGAUGACCAGCCACACUGGAACUGAGACACGGUCCAGACUCCUACGGGAGGCAGCAGUGGGGAAUAUUGCACAAUGGGCGCAAGCCUGAUGCAGCCAUGCCGCGUGUGUGAAGAAGGCCUUCGGGUUGUAAAGCACUUUCAGCGGGGAGGAAGGCGGUGAGGUUAAUAACCUUGUCGAUUGACGUUACCCGCAGAAGAAGCACCGGCUAACUCCGUGCCAGCAGCCGCGGUAAUACGGAGGGUGCAAGCGUUAAUCGGAAUUACUGGGCGUAAAGCGCACGCAGGCGGUCUGUCAAGUCGGAUGUGAAAUCCCCGGGCUCAACCUGGGAACUGCAUUCGAAACUGGCAGGCUAGAGUCUUGUAGAGGGGGGUAGAAUUCCAGGUGUAGCGGUGAAAUGCGUAGAGAUCUGGAGGAAUACCGGUGGCGAAGGCGGCCCCCUGGACAAAGACUGACGCUCAGGUGCGAAAGCGUGGGGAGCAAACAGGAUUAGAUACCCUGGUAGUCCACGCCGUAAACGAUGUCGAUUUGGAGGUUGUGCCCUUGAGGCGUGGCUUCCGGAGCUAACGCGUUAAAUCGACCGCCUGGGGAGUACGGCCGCAAGGUUAAAACUCAAAUGAAUUGACGGGGGCCCGCACAAGCGGUGGAGCAUGUGGUUUAAUUCGAUGCAACGCGAAGAACCUUACCUGGUCUUGACAUCCACAGAACUUUCCAGAGAUGGAUUGGUGCCUUCGGGAACUGUGAGACAGGUGCUGCAUGGCUGUCGUCAGCUCGUGUUGUGAAAUGUUGGGUUAAGUCCCGCAACGAGCGCAACCCUUAUCCUUUGUUGCCAGCGGUUAGGCCGGGAACUCAAAGGAGACUGCCAGUGAUAAACUGGAGGAAGGUGGGGAUGACGUCAAGUCAUCAUGGCCCUUACGACCAGGGCUACACACGUGCUACAAUGGCAUAUACAAAGAGAAGCGACCUCGCGAGAGCAAGCGGACCUCAUAAAGUAUGUCGUAGUCCGGAUUGGAGUCUGCAACUCGACUCCAUGAAGUCGGAAUCGCUAGUAAUCGUAGAUCAGAAUGCUACGGUGAAUACGUUCCCGGGCCUUGUACACACCGCCCGUCACACCAUGGGAGUGGGUUGCAAAAGAAGUAGGUAGCUUAACCUUCGGGAGGGCGCUC
rnacentral:rRNA from 1 species